rnacentral:rRNA from 1 species
AGUGAACGCUGGCGGUAGGCCUAACACAUGCAAGUCGAACGGCAGCACAGUAAGAGCUUGCUCUUACGGGUGGCGAGUGGCGGACGGGUGAGGAAUACAUCGGAAUCUACUUUUUCGUGGGGGAUAACGUAGGGAAACUUACGCUAAUACCGCAUACGACCUACGGGUGAAAGCAGGGGAUCUUCGGACCUUGCGCGAUUGAAUGAGCCGAUGUCGGAUUAGCUAGUUGGCGGGGUAAAGGCCCACCAAGGCGACGAUCCGUAGCUGGUCUGAGAGGAUGAUCGGCCACACUGGAGCUGAGACACGGUCCAGACUACUGCGGGAGGCAGCAGUGGGGAAUAUUGGACAAUGGGCGCAAGCCUGAUCCAGCCAUACCGAGUGGGUGAAGAAGGCCUUCGGGUUGUAAAGCCCUUUUGUUGGGAAAGAAAAGCAGCAGGUUAAUACCCCGCUGUUCUGACGGUACCCAAAGAAUAAGCACCGGCUAACUUCGUG